UUUUUGUUUUUAUCAUUUUUAAGUGUUUUAUUUAAAUAAAUAGUUUGGUUUUGGUGCAUACUAAAUAAUUUUAACAGAUACCGAAGUCAGGUGUGUAAUAGUUAUAAUAGAAAUGUAAGAUUUUGAAAGAAUAUGUAAUUCUAAUAUGUUUAAAAUUAAUUUUUGGUAAUGCAACAUUAUUGUUUAUAAAUUAAUAUUUGGUAUUUCAGAAAACCUCUCUACCAAAUGUUUACCAAAAGUUUAAUUAAAUGGCCCAUAACUUAAACCGAAUAAUUGUUUUUUGGGCUGAAAUACAUGUUGAUGUUGGGCCGAAAUACAUUUUCUAUUUUCGUUUGUGUUUUGUAUUUAAUAUUAAGGAAUUUUUUUCUUUCUUCAUUUGGACAUAUAAUUGUUUUUAGAACAAUCGUUGUCUUAUCUCAAAAGAAGAAAACCCACCGAAUACAAUUAAGAACUUCGGUCGCCCACCAAAAAAAAAUUAAGAACAUCGGUCGAUCAAAUCAUCAAUGGCGAAAUUCUCAUAUAAUUCAGUGAUUUUGUCUCCGGUUAUACUCUGUAGAUCUUCGCCUAGGAUUGUCAAGAAUCUGGAUCUUCUACGGAAUUUUUACAAAUUUAUGUUCCACUGUUGUGGCGAUCUCGGGAAUUAAGUGAAUUAUAAUUCUUUUCCAAGGCAUUUUCUCGCUUCUUCACUUUCCAUAUGGCCAAGGUAAGUGUGUAUCUAUAUAUGUUUAUCAACAUUAUAUAAGUCCAAUGAUCUCACAAAAAUCUUAUUCUUGCUUGUAUUGAAUUCGAUGUCCUUUGUUUCUUAGAAUCACCUUUUCCCAAUUAUUUAGAGGAUCUACAUGUUAUUCGUCAUUGAUUUUUUUCUUAUGAAAAUUUUCUUUGAUUUUAGACUAAUUAAUCUAUGAGAUAACUAUUAGUUGUUUUCUAUAUCAGGUCCUGAUCCGAGUUAUGGCCUUGGUUUUUAGGUUCAAUUAGAAGAGUUGUGAAAGAGUAAAAGAAUUAUUAAGUAAACUAUUCAUUCACUUCGCCAAUAUCAAUCAUUAGUAAAUCUCGGAGUGCAAUAAUUGGCAAUAAUUGGUAUCCCAACAUUAAUCAACACUCCAACGGAUCGACUCCAGGAUCCGCGUCUCGGACUGUAUUUGAAGCCCAAGAUCCGCGUGGUAGCCCGCCCCAAUAGCAUAUGGUCCGCGUGUUUAUCCGAACAAAAUGCCCAGGAUCCGCGUUUUUUAUAUAUUUAAAUUGUCGAGUUUAACCUUGGACGAAAUCUUUUAUCUAUUCUUAGAAUGAAAAAAUCCUAAUGGCAUU